rnacentral:misc_RNA from 1 species
GCCAGGUCUCCACAAAACAGAGACCAACCAUUGUUCUUCUCAAGUCAUCACCUUUCACUCACCAGAUGGCUACACUAACAACACAGAUCAAUGCCCCAUAACCCAGUGACCUCACCGGCGCUGAUCUCACCACUAAACAGUGAACACUGCCCAGAAUUUGAGAUCCAUCCGAGUCAUGUUUGAAAAAAUAACUUUUUCGAUCUGAUCCUAGUGUCUCAAGCCUUCCCAAAGACUCCUGCUAUCAAAACUCCAAUCCAACAAGAUCAAGCUAGAUCCACCAUUCAAACCCGCCAAACU